GCCUUCUCCCCCGCGUCCUCUGAAAUGAUACCUCAGAGAGUCUUUUCCCCAACUCAGCAUGUGGCUGCCCUCCUACUUGCGUCGCCACCCGCGCGCCCCGACAGCCUGAUGAAAGACGAACCCCCCCCUCCGCCAGAGAGGGAUACCAAUAAAUCAGACAAACCAACAAGAGCGGAGACCACCUAUUGGAGACGCCGUCUCUCGCCGCAGCUCUUGUUGGCCAUCGGUAACAAGUAUCCAGUCGGUAAUCUCUCCCCCGAAACGAGCGAACGGUGGUUGGAUUAAGCCGGCGAAUGCGCUCAUAAAUGUGGGAUCUCGUCGAGGUAGAUUGGGAUUGACGGGGAGGUAAUCCCUCGACGCCGACGGGGCCUGUAAACCCGCUGUUGUCUGUUUGUGCGGUAAACACCCAAAGUGGAGGAUGAAAGGGCCGGGUCUCCAGGAACAAUGCGGGGAACAGAUGCUCUCAUUCUCUGCUCGUUCUUUCGGGUUUGAAUUAGGUACUAGGAGAAGAGACGAAUGUGGACGAACGUUAGCGUGUGCGAGGAGAAUAAUCCUAAUCUGUGUUGCCUAAUAUUAACAGGAAGCUUGUAUGAGGAUAGAGGUCUAGAUCUGUCUUAAGAGUUAAAGUUUUAUUCUGAAUCAGUUGGGAUUCCUCUUUUCUAACAUCUUUCUUAAGAACUGGAAGUGACAAAAAGUGUGGACAAACCCAAAAUGUUAGGGUUUGUUCUCAGGAGAAAAAUAUGCAAACAUUUUUAACUCUUUCUACUCGCAACCCCUUCCGCCACUGCCACCAUGGUUGGAGUUCCAUGGUGCAAACCUCUUACUUUUUUUUCAAAAUGGUGGUUUUCUGUUAGUUUUAUCUCCAUAGCAACCAUUUUGCUUUUUGGUCUCCUAAAGGUAACGAACAAUUCUAUGCAAUUUUUAGAACAAUCGGCAAAAGUAAAAUUUUUGAUUUCCUUGGCAACGGAAAUUUUUGGUUAGCCAGGCCAACAUUUCUGGUAUGGUCCUAUUGUAUGUUAUAUAUUUUGUUCAGCUUGAUCCAGGAAUUAGUUCAUUCAAUUUUAACAAGAUUCCAGCAAAAAGUGAGCGAGUAACUUGAGACUUCCAGUUCUGCUAGCUCACAAUGCUAACGUAGUUUAAAAUGUGACCUGGACAGAUGCGUACGAGCUUCAAGAGUUCAAAUUAGUGUUAAUUUCAACUUGCUACCCCUUCUUCCCCUGCCACCUUGGUCACAGUUCCACUUCACAAAUUGAUGAAAAAAACCCCACUUUUGUCAAAAUGGUGGCUUUCUGUUAGUUUUAUCUCCAUAGCAACCAUUUUAUUUUUUGGUCUCCUGAGGGUGACGAACACGUCCAAGUAAUUUUUAGAAGAAUCUGCAAAAGUAAAAUUUCUGAUUUUCUUUGGCAACGGAAGUUUUUUGUUAGCCCCACCCACAUUCAUAAUAUAGUCCUUUUUUAUAUUAUAUGAUUUUGUUCAGCUUGAUUCAGACAUUUGAGUAUUCAAUUUCCACUAGCUCUCCAUGCUAACGCUGUUUGAAGCGUACUAUUGGUAAUCCCAACAUUUCUUUCCCAAGUGUCUUUGCAAUAAUGGGAGCCAGACAGAUAUUUACGGGCUUUCAUAGCAAAGUUGUGUUAAUGAGAACCAAAGUUUUUAAUCGAUCAAGAAAAAUCACUUAUUUUGUCUCGAUCAUUAAAAAUAGCAAAACUGACUGAGUUUUGGCUACCUUGUUUUAGCUAGGUGUGUUAUCAUGUUUUCUCUGCAUCUGAUGUACAUUUUUUUAUAUACUUUAUUUUUGUCAAGAAAGGAUUUAAAAGACAAUACAUUUUAAAGACUAUGUCACACAAAUGCGAACGGAAGGUGAAAAAUUGGCGAAAAAGUGACUAACCGUUAGCUUGUUGGUGAACGCUGUUUGCUACUGAAGGAGUUUUUCCCAUCAACCAACCCAGAUUUUAAUCUUUGUGGUAAAUUUCUUCAAGAUUAGACAUAAAACAACAUCCCCACCAAUGUAAAGGCUUUAAAACGGUGACAAAGGUGACCGAAAUAAAGACAAAAGUACAUUUUUAUAUCAAUGUAGAACUAGCUAUAGCUAGUGACGUUAACGUUCACUAUUUCUUAUGUAACACAUUUCCACAAAAUUCAAAAUAUAACUAAAUCAAAACUUAUCAGCAAUUUAAAAAAAUAAAAUCUUACUUUGAGUUGCUCCAGGAUGUUAUAAAUAAAUAUGUUUAUCCAAAUAAAGUUCUGUUAUGCUCCUCCCACUCCUUCUAUUGCAACUGUCAUUUUUAGCACUUCAAAAUAACACUUUAUACAACUUUUUUUUGGUUACCCCGGGGCGGAGCUACAUGGUGGGCCAGGGGGUGGCAGCUGCCCCCCUCCCCCGACUCCCCAGCGAAAAGCUUCCCCCCAAUUAGUGAGUCGAUAUAAGUCUCCUUUUUUCACAAGGAAAUAAUAAACGGUCAAUAAAACCGAUUUUAAGCAAAAAAAAAAAAGUUUUAAUAAAAUAAAAAAUAAUAAUUAUAAUAAAGCUGUUUGAUCCACCCUUUCAAAGUACUUUGCCCCCUAUAUAAUAUAACAUAUAGCUCCGCCCCCUGCUUAUACUAUCAUAGAUUAGUCAAGGGUUAGGUGUUGGAUUUCUUGUGAUUUCUUGUGAGGGGGCUUAAUUUAAAAAAAAAAAAA